AGUGGAUGGGGAGCAACCUAGUUGUGCGUGUGUAAAGGUAGUGCCAAGAAAAGCGAUGAUCAUGUUGAAAAUCAAUUCCCGGUACCCGAAACCGACACAGGUGGGCAAGUAGAGAAUACUAAGGGGCGCGAGGUAACUCUCUCCAAGGAACUCGGCAAAAUGACCCCGUAACUUAGGGAGAAGGGGUGCCACCGAGAGGUGGUCGCAGUGAAGAGGCCCAGGCGACUGUUUAGCAAAAACAUAGGUCUCUGCAAACUCGAAAGAGGAGGUAUAGGGGCUGACGCCUGCCCAGUGCCGGAAGGUUAAAGAAGUUGGUCAGUUUUAGGAUGAAGCUAGCGACUGAAGCCCCGGUGAACGGCGGCCGUAACUAUAACGGUCCUAAGGUAGCGAAAUUCCUUGUCGGGUAAGUUCCGACCCGCACGAAAGGCGUAACGAUCUGGGCGCUGUCUCGGAGAGAGGCUCGGCGAAAUAGGAUUGUCUGUGAAGAUACGGACUACCUGCAUUUGGACAGAAAGACCCUAUGAAGCUUUACUAUAGCUUGGAAUUGUGUUCGGGCUUCCUGUGCGCAGGAUAGGUGGGAGGCGUAGAAGGUAUUCUUGUGGGGAUACUGGAGCCAACGGUGAGAUACCACUCUCAGGAGGCUAGAAUUCUAACUUAAUUAAGGACAGUUUCAGGUGGGUAGUUUGACUGGGGCGGUCGCCUCCAAAAAGGUAACGGAGGCGUACAAAGGUUCCCUCAGACUGGUUGGAAAUCAGUCGAAGAGUGCAAAGGCAGAAGGGAGCUUGACUGCGAGAAGUACAGUUCGAGCAGGGUGGAAACACGGUCUUAGUGAUCCGACGGUGCUGUGUGGAAGGGCCGUCGCUCAACGGAUAAAAGUUACUCUAGGAUAACAGGCUGAUCUCCCCCAAGAGUUCACAUCGACGGGGAGGUUUGGCACCUCGAUGUCGGCUCAUCGCAACCUGGGGCGGAAGUACGUCCCAAGGGUUGGGCUGUUCGCCCAUUAAAGCGGUACGUGAGCUGGGUUCAGAACGUCGUGAGACAGUUCGGUCCAUAUCCGAUGUAGGCGUGAGAAUAUUGAGAGGAGCCUUCCUUAGUACGAGAGGACCGGGAAGGACGCACCGCUGGUGUACCUGUUAUGAUGCCAAUUGUAAACGCAGGGUAGCCAAGUGCGGAGAGGAUAACCGCUGAAAGCAUCUAAGUGGGAAGCCCACCUCAAGAUGAGUAUUCUGGUGUAAGGUCACGGGAAGACGACCCGUAAAUAGGCACGAGGUGGAAGUGCAGAGAUGUAUGAAGCCGAAGUGUAUUAAUAGACCGUCGGCUUGACCU
rnacentral:rRNA from 1 species